rnacentral:rRNA from 1 species
CGUAGGGGGCAAGCGUUGUCCGGAUUUAUUGGGCGUAAAGCGCUCGCAGGUGGUCCGUCGCGUCGUGCGUGGAAGCCCCCGGCUCAACUGGGGAGUGUCGUGCGAUACGGGCGGGCUGGAGGCCAGUAGGGGGAUGCGGAAUUCCGGGUGUAGUGGUGGAAUGCGUAGAGAUCCGGAGGAACACCAGCGGCGAAGGCGGCAUCCUGGACUGGUCCUGACACUCAUGAGCGAAAGCGUGGGGAGCGAUCCGGAUUAGAUACCCGGGUAGUCCACGCCGUAAACGAUGCGCACUAGGUGUCGGGGGUAUCGACCCCCUCGGUGCCGCAGCUAACGCGAUAAGUGCGCCGCCUGGGGACUACGGCCGCAAGGCUA